GACGAACGCUGGCGGCGUGCCUAAUACAUGCAAGUCGAACGAGUGGCGGACGGGUGAGUAACACGUGGGAACCUACCCAUCAGAGGGGGAUAACUACUGGAAACGGUAGCUAAUACCGCAUACCAUCGGAUGUGCCCAGAUGGGAUUAGCUUGUAGGUUAGGUAACGGCUCACCUAGGCGACUAUCCCUAGCUGGUCUGAGAGGAUUACCAGCCACACUGGAACUGAGGCACUGUCCCGACUCCUACGGUAGGCAGCAGUGGGGAAUCUUGCACAAUGGGCGCAAGCCUGAUACAGCCAUGCCGCGUGUAUGAAGAGGGCCUUCGGGUUGUAAAGUACUUUCAGCGGGGAGUCGUUACCCGCAGAAGAAGCACCGGCUAACUCCGUGCCAGCAGCCGCGGUAAUUC
rnacentral:rRNA from 1 species